CACGUAGGGGACGAGCGUUGUCCGGAAUCAUUGGGCGUAAAGAGCGUGUAGGCGGCCCGAUAAGUCCGCUGUGAAAGUCCAGGGCUCAACCCUGGAAUGCCGGUGGAUACUGUCGGGCUCGAAUCCGGAAGAGGUGAGUGGAAUUUCUGGUGUAGCGGUGGAAUGCGCAGAUAUCAGGAGGAACACCGAUAGCGAAGGCAGCUCGCUGGGACGGUACUGACGCUGAGGCGCGAAAGCGUGGGGAGCGAACAGG
rnacentral:rRNA from 1 species